rnacentral:rRNA from 1 species
UACGUAGGCAGCGAGCGUUUGUUCGGAGUUACUGGGCGUAAAGGGUGUGUAGGCGGUUGUUUUAAGUUUGGUGUGAAAUCUCCCGGCUCAACUGGGAGGGUGCGCCGAAUACUGAAUGACUAGAGUGCGGGAGAGGAAAGUGGAAUUCCUGGUGUAGCGGUGAAAUGCGUAGAUAUCAGGAGGAACACCGGUGGUGUAGACGGCUUUCUGGACCGUAACUGACGCUGAGACACGAAAGCGUGGGGUAGCAAACAGG